rnacentral:lncRNA from 1 species
GCCCUUUGACUUCUUAACAAAUUCCUCGUUGUAAUUUAGUGUAAAUGUGGCAAUACAACUAAAGAGGACAGAAAGCAGUAGAAAGCUCCAGGUAUGGCACUCUUAGUAUCCAACUGCCCAACAGAGGCAACACAGACGAGGAGAACCUGCAACCAUCUAUCUUAAUUAAACUGUGUAUUGAUCUCCCAUUCAGCUAUAAUGAAUUCUACUGCCUCCACACCGUAAGCCAGCAGCAAAUACCACAGCACGUGCUCCAGCAGGUGGGUGAUCCAUUGACUAUCCCUUGUAGCUUUUCCCAGAGUCAGAGCACGCAACAUUUUGUAGCAGUCAUACAAGUGAAUGCCUGGUUAUGUGGAAAUGAAUGACUGUCCAUGUCCCAGGGCUGUGGUGCUCCUUUGAGAUGUGUUGUGCAAGUGGGACAGGCCAGCUCUGGGCCCCGCACAACGCACAGAAACCUGCUGCUUUCAUAUUUGCUUCCCCAGGCCUGCAGGAGCUGGUUCUUCCACACCCACAGCCUGUUGUAGUCUUAAGCUGACGAAACAAGGAAACUUUGAAGAAAACAGGGGGAUUGGUAGCCUUGAGCUAGCAGAAGCAAGCGAGAUCGGUGUUGGAGGGGAGCACGCCAGAGACCGAGCGCGCACUUGUGAUUUUAUCGGGGUCCGGCCUACACUCUCCGAAAGCCCGGGGCCGGCGAGUGGCACAGCGGCACAACGCCCUGAGGAAACUACCGAACGUCUGGGGGUCAAGGGGGACGUCACUGGACUGCGCUGGGGAUACAGCCUGUAACUGCCAUUUCUAAUAUAAGUGCAUGACCAGAUGGCCACCAGUGGUGGAAGGAGAAGAACAUUCAGACACAGGAAAAUGCAAUAGCAGUCAUCUUAAGCCACCGAGGUUUGCAGCUGGGUGAGUGGAACCACUGAAAAAUGUAAAAUACCAUUAAACCCCCACAUUACACUGUACAAGGUCUAAUGAAUCAGCAGUAACUGUCUCAACAUGUAAGCACCAACCCUCACGCUAUUUUAUGUAAAUAUGAAUUUCUAUCAGAUUAGUAGCUUUUUUCUCCCAUAUUCUGUGAUGGAGGAUUUUAUGGUUUCAAUUGUGAAGAAAUCGAACAUUUCUGAGAUUAUUAACUUCUCCGACCCUGUACAAAUGCCAGGGGAACUGGU